AUAAUAUCGGAUAACGCAUAUGUGCUGGAAUGCUUUAUGCGUAAAACGGAUUCGUCCGCCCAAGGAUGGGUCUGCGGCCUAUCAGGUAGUAGUGGGUGUAAUGUACCUACUAGCCAACAACGGGUACGGGUUGUGAGAGCAAGAGCCCGGAGAUGGAUUCUGAGACAUGAAUCCAGGCCCUACGGGGCGCAGCAGGCGCGAAAACUUUACAAUGCGGGAAACCGUGAUAAGGGAACACCGAGUGCCAGCAUCAUAUGCUGGCUGUCCAGAUGUGUAAACUACAUCUGUUAGCAAGGGCCGGGCAAGACCGGUGCCAGCCGCCGCGGUAACACCGGCGGCCCGAGUGGUGACCGUUAUUAUUGGGUCUAAAGGGUCCGUAGCCGGUUUGGUCAGUCCUCCGGGAAAUCUGAUAGCUUAACUGUUAGGCUUUCGGGGGAUACUGCCAGGCUUGGAACCGGGAGAGGUAAGAGGUACUACAGGGGUAGGAGUGAAAUCUUGUAAUCCCUGUGAGACCACCUGUGGCGAAGGCGUCUUACCAGAACGGGUUCGACGGUGAGGGACGAAAGCUGGGGGCACGAACCGGAUUAAAUACCCGGGUAGUCCCAGCCGUAAACUAUGCUCGCUAGGUGU
rnacentral:rRNA from 1 species